rnacentral:rRNA from 1 species
CUACCCUUGACAUGGCAGGAAUCCUGAAGAGAUUUGGGAGUGCUCGAAAGAGAACCAGUACACAGGUGCUGCAUGGCUGUCGUCAGCUCGUGUCGUGAGAUGUUGGGUUAAGUCCCGCAACGAGCGCAACCCUUGUCAUUAGUUGCUACGAAAGGGCACUCUAGAGAGACUGCCGGUGACAAACCGGAGGAAGGUGGGGAUGACGUCAAGUCCUCAUGGCCCUUAUGGGUAGGGCUUCACACGUCAUACAAUGGUGCGUACAGAGGGUUGCCAACCCGCGAGGGGGAGCUAAUCCCAGAAAACGCAUCGUAGUCCGGAUCGUAGUCUGCAACUCGACUACGUGAAGCUGGAAUCGCUAGUAAUCGCGGAUCAGCAUGCCGCGGUGAAUACGUUCCC